CCCUUAGAUGUUCUGGGCCGCACGCGCGCUACACUGGUGCGUUCAACAAGUUUACAACCUUGAUUGACAAGUCUGGGUAAUCUUUUGAAUGCGCACCGUGCUAGGGAUAGAUUAUUGCAAUUAUUAAUCUUGAACGAGGAAUUCCUAGUAAACGCAAGUCAUCAGCUUGCAUUGAUUACGUCCCUGCCCUUUGUACACACCGCCCGUCGCACCUACCGAUUGUGUGCACAGGUGAGGACUAGGGAGCCCCGAUGUAGGGUAGUUUCUACCCCACUUUGGGACGAACUUGUCCAAAUCUUUUCACAUAGAGGAAGGAGAAGUCGUAACA
rnacentral:rRNA from 1 species